rnacentral:tRNA from 1 species
ACCUGGCUGGUUCAGUUGGUAGAACACAUGACUCUUGGUCUUGGGAUUGUGAGUUCGAGCCCCACGUUGGGCG